UACGUAGGUGGCAAGCGUUGUCCGGAAUCACUGGGCGUAAAGCGCGCGCAGGCGGCGAUCUACGUCUGGGGUGAAAGCCCGGAGCUCAACUCCGGGACUGCCUUGGAUACGGGAUCGCUUGAGGAUUGGAGAGGCAAGGGGAAUUCCACGUGUAGCGGUGAAAUGCGUAGAUAUCACUCGGAAGGCCAACGGCGAAGGCAGGUCACUGGUGCGCAACUGACGCUGAGGCACGAAAGCGUGGGGAGCAAACAGG
rnacentral:rRNA from 1 species